UACGGGGGGGGCAAGCGUUGUUCGGAAUUACUGGGCGUAAAGGGCUCGUAGGUGGCCAACUAAGUCAGACGUGAAAUCCCUCAGCUUAACUGGGGAACUGCGUCUGAUACUGGAUGGCUUGAGUUUGGGAGAGGGAUGCGGAAUUCCAGGUGUAGCGGUGAAAUGCGUAGAUAUCUGGAGGAACACCGGUGGCGAAGGCGGCAUCCUGGACCAACACUGACACUGAGGAGCGAAAGCGUGGGGAGCAAACAGG
rnacentral:rRNA from 1 species